rnacentral:rRNA from 1 species
GGUUAAGUGACUAAGCGUACACGGUGGAUGCCUUGGCAGUCAGAGGCGAUGAAGGACGUAGUAACUUGCGAUAAGCGUAGAUGAGGCAGUAACAGCCACUUGAGUCUACGAUUUCCGAAUGGGGAAACCCACUGGCAUAAGCCAGUAUCAUUGAGUGAAUACAUAGCUCAAUGAAGCGAACCGGGAGAACUGAAACAUCUAAGUACCCCGAGGAAAAGAAAUCAACCGAGAUUCCGAAAGUAGCGGCGAGCGAAAUUGGAUUAGCCCUUAAGCUUUACAUGUGUUAGACGAACGGUCUGGAAAGUCCGACGAUACAGGGUGAUAGUCCCGUAGUUGUAGAUGCAUGUUCAGUGAAAUCGAGUAGGGCGGGACACGUGUUAUCCUGUCUGAAUAUGGGGGGACCAUCCUCCAAGGCUAAAUACUCCUGACUGACCGAUAGUGAACCAGUACCGUGAGGGAAAGGCGAAAAGAACCCCUGUGAGGGGAGUGAAAUAGAACCUGAAACCGUGUACGUACAAGCAGUAGGAGCACCUUCGUGGUGUGACUGCGUACCUUUUGUAUAAUGGGUCAGCGACUUAUAUUCAGUGGCAAGGUUAACCAUCUAGGGGAGCCGUAGGGAAACCGAGUCUUAACUGGGCGCCAUAGUCUCUGGAUAUAGACCCGAAACCGAGUGAUCUAGCCAUGGGCAGGUUGAAGGUUGAGUAACAUCAACUGGAGGACCGAACCGACUAAUGUUGAAAAAUUAGCGGAUGACUUGUGGCUAGGGGUGAAAGGCCAAUCAAACUCGGAGAUAGCUGGUUCUCCCCGAAAGCUAUUUAGGUAGCGCCUCGGACGAAUACUACUGGGGGUAGAGCACUGUUAAGGCUAGGGGGUCAUCCCGACUUACCAACCCUUUGCAAACUCCGAAUACCAGUAAGUACUAUCCGGGAGACACACGGCGGGUGCUAACGUCCGUCGUGGAGAGGGAAACAACCCAGACCGCCAGCUAAGGUCCCAAAUUACAGCUAAGUGGGAAACGAUGUGGGAAGGCUUAGACAGCUAGGAUGUUGGCUUAGAAGCAGCCAUCAUUUAAAGAAAGCGUAAUAGCUCACUAGUCGAGUCGGCCUGCGCGGAAGAUGUAACGGGGCUAAGUUGUAAACCGAAGCUGCGGCAAUAUCUUUUAGAUAUUGGGUAGGGGAGCGUUCUGUAAGCCGUUGAAGGUGUGUUGUAAAGCAUGCUGGAGGUAUCAGAAGUGCGAAUGCUGACAUGAGUAACGACAAGGGGGGUGAAAAACCUCCCCGCCGGAAGACCAAGGGUUCCUGUCCAACGUUAAUCGGGGCAGGGUAAGUCGACCCCUAAGGCGAGGCCGAAAGGCGUAGUCGAUGGGAAACGGGUUAAUAUUCCCGUACUUCUUACAAUUGCGAUGGGGGGACGGAGAAGGCUAGGUGGGCCUGGCGACGGUUGUCCAGGUUCAAGUGCGUAGGCUGAGUGUUUAGGUAAAUCCGGACACUCUUAAGGCUGAGACACGACGUCGAGCUACUACGGUAGUGAAGUCAUUGAUGCCAUGCUUCCAGGAAAAGCCUCUAAGCUUCAGAUUGUAAGGAAUCGUACCCCAAACCGACACAGGUGGUCGGGUAGAGAAUACCAAGGCGCUUGAGAGAACUCGGGUGAAGGAACUAGGCAAAAUGGUACCGUAACUUCGGGAGAAGGUACGCUCUUGAUGGUGAAGUCCCUUGCGGAUGGAGCUGACGAGAGUCGCAGAUACCAGGUGGCUGCAACUGUUUAUUAAAAACACAGCACUGUGCAAAAUCGUAAGAUGACGUAUACGGUGUGACGCCUGCCCGGUGCCGGAAGGUUAAUUGAUGGGGUUAGCGUAAGCGAAGCUCUUGAUCGAAGCCCCGGUAAACGGCGGCCGUAACUAUAACGGUCCUAAGGUAGCGAAAUUCCUUGUCGGGUAAGUUCCGACC